GUUUACUACAUUUAACAAGGUUCUGGUUUGCUCUCUGAUGGUAGUUAGAUGUGAACUAUAAUGAUAGGGGUGAAAUGACUUGUUUGUUACACCAAAUGGACAUUGUGGAAGGUUCUGAUUGGCUCAUUGGUGGUUGAUAGAUAGAAUGAUGAGGGUAAAUCCCAGUGAGUAAAGUCUCCACAGAAACCAUACAGGCUCUCAACGCGGGAACAUAUACAUGUUUCCUAACAGCAUGGUAGAUUGGCUAACAUGCAACUCCUUUAGGUGACUUUUCCUAUGGGAUCUGUUUUUUGUUCUAAUGAUUGAACAAUUCAGGUUAAUUCACUAAGAUGUGAAACCUUGACCAUCCAUGUACAUGUACUUCAUUGAAAAGAUUUGUUCUGUCAUGUAUAGGAACAGAUGGAGAGAAGAUAGAUGUACUUUCAGGGGGAUUAUGUCAAUUGCAAAGGAAAUGGGGGCAAAAAAAAAGGAAAGAGGGAUGGGAUUUUUCGUGUUUUUCGCAUACCGGGCCUUUGCUCGUUCAAAUCUUAGAUUGCAAUAGUUUACCCUUCGAAUCAAAAGAUAUUGAUCUUAUGAUAAAGAUCAGUAUUUACUAAUUAUCAUAAGAUGUCACAGGUUGACAUAAUUGGAUGCGUAGCCACAUGCACGAGGUUAUAUGUACCGGCAUUAUUUUGUAAUGAGUUGCAGAUAGCUUGUUGCAUUAAAUGUCAAUGCAAAUCAGCCAGUGGGGUCCUAUCAGCGAUCAUUAGGCUUUUUUUUCUGAAACUAAUUUGCUAAAACAUCUUACAUGGCCCAGUUGUCAAUGAAAUUGAAAGAAACAGACCUGCAUGCAGCUUCCAGGAAUGCGCAUGUACGGGCAAAAAUAAAACCUUUUGCUGCUAAUUUAUGCUACUGUUUGUUGAAGACUGAAGGUGGCAAAGAGAAUUCUGGUUGAGUCUCCGGGCAACACAAAAUUGAUUGAUGCAUUGAAUAUCCAUCCAAAUUAUGGAACUCUGUUGAUCGCACGCGUGGAGAUUAAGCAUUGGACCACGCUUCCUUCGUACCAAUCAUUUUCGGUUAAAGGUUAGAUGUUCCUUCCUAAAGUUUUUUUGUUUUUUUUUUUUAAUUUCAUGUUUAUUUGUUGAGGUUCGAGGGAAACAAAACCAAUACAAAUUACAAUGAAAAAGAUUAUUAGGAGAUUGGGGAAAAAAAUAAAAAUAAAGAAAUAGUACAGAAAUCAAUUAAAAAUAAAAGUACAUCCUAAAUAAAGUAAACCCAGCGGAAUUUAAACUUGUGCUA